UAUGGCAGAUUAGUGCAUUGGAUUUAAACCCCAAUUAUAAAGUAGCCUUUUAUUAAAA
rnacentral:tRNA from 2 species